GUUAGGGGAGGGUUUGGCCCAGCGUCGUCCGGGUUAGGGGAGGGUUUGGCCCAGCGUCGUCCGGGUUAGGGGAGGGUUUGGCCCAGCGUCGUCCGGGUUAGGGGAGGGUUUGGCCCAGCGUCGUCCGGGUUAGGGGAGGGUUUGGCCCAGCGUCGUCCGGGUUAGGGGAGGGUUUGGCCCAGCGUCGUCCGGGUUAGGGGAGGGUUUGGCCCAGCGUCGUCCGGGUUAGGGGAGGGUUUGGCCCAGCGUCGUCCGGGUUAGGGGAGGGUUUGGCCCAGCGUCGUCCGGGUUAGGGGAGGGUUUGGCCCAGCGUCGUCCGGGUUAGGGGAGGGUUUGGCCCAGCGUCGUCCGGGUUAGGGGAGGGUUUGGCCCAGCGUCGUCCGGGUUAGGGGAGGGUUUGGCCCAGCGUCGU